rnacentral:rRNA from 1 species
AGUGAACGCUGGCGGUAGGCCUAACACAUGCAAGUCGAACGGCAGCACAGUAAGAGCUUGCUCUUACGGGUGGCGAGUGGCGGACGGGUGAGGAAUACAUCGGAAUCUACUUUUUCGUGGGGGAUAACGUAGGGAAACUUACGCUAAUACCGCAUACGACCUACGGGUGAAAGCAGGGGAUCUUCGGACCUUGCGCGAAUGAAUGAGCCGAUGUGGGAUUAGCUAGUUGGCGGGGUAAAGGCCCACCCAGGCGACGAUCCGUAGCUGGUCUGAGAGGAUGAUCAGCCACACUGGAACUGAGACACGGUCCAGACUCCUACGGGAGGCAGCAGUGGGGAAUAUUGGACAAUGGGCGCGAGCCUGAUCCAGCCAUACCGCGUGGGUGAAGAAGGCCUUCGGGUUGUAAAGCCCUUUUGUUGGGAAAGAACAGCAGCAGGUUAAUACCCCGCUGUUCUGACGGUACCCAAAGAAUAAGCACCGGCUAACUUCGUG